rnacentral:rRNA from 1 species
AGAGUUUGAUCAUGGCUCAGAUUGAACGCUGGCGGCAGGCCUAACACAUGCAAGUCGAACGGUAACAGGAAGCAGCUUGCUGCUUCGCUGACGAGUGGCGGACGGGUGAGUAAUGUCUGGGAAACUGCCUGAUGGAGGGGGAUAACUACUGGAAACGGUGGCUAAUACCGCAUAACGUCGCAAGACCAAAGAGGGGGACCUUCGGGCCUCUUGCCAUCAGAUGUGCCCAGAUGGGAUUAGCUUGUUGGUGAGGUAACGGCUCACCAAGGCGACGAUCCCUAGCUGGUCUGAGAGGAUGACCAGCCACACUGGAACUGAGACACGGUCCAGACUCCUACGGGAGGCAGCAGUGGGGAAUAUUGCACAAUGGGCGCAAGCCUGAUGCAGCCAUGCCGCGUGUAUGAAGAAGGCCUUCGGGUUGUAAAGUACUUUCAGCGGGGAGGAAGGUGUUGCGGUUAAUAACCGCAGCAAUUGACGUUACCCGCAGAAGAAGCACCGGCUAACUCCGUGCCAGCAGCCGCGGUAAUACGGAGGGUGCAAGCGUUAAUCGGAAUUACUGGGCGUAAAGCGCACGCAGGCGGUCUGUCAAGUCGGAUGUGAAAUCCCCGGGCUCAACCUGGGAACUGCAUUCGAAACUGGCAGGCUUGAGUCUUGUAGAGGGGGGUAGAAUUCCAGGUGUAGCGGUGAAAUGCGUAGAGAUCUGGAGGAAUACCGGUGGCGAAGGCGGCCCCCUGGACAAAGACUGACGCUCAGGUGCGAAAGCGUGGGGAGCAAACAGGAUUAGAUACCCUGGUAGUCCACGCCGUAAACGAUGUCUACUUGGAGGUUGUGCCCUUGAGGCGUGGCUUCCGGAGCUAACGCGUUAAGUAGACCGCCUGGGGAGUACGGCCGCAAGGUUAAAACUCAAAUGAAUUGACGGGGGCCCGCACAAGCGGUGGAGCAUGUGGUUUAAUUCGAUGCAACGCGAAGAACCUUACCUGGUCUUGACAUCCACGGAAGGUCUCAGAGAUGAGACUGUGCCUUCGGGAACCGUGAGACAGGUGCUGCAUGGCUGUCGUCAGCUCGUGUUGUGAAAUGUUGGGUUAAGUCCCGCAACGAGCGCAACCCUUAUCCUUUGUUGCCAGCGGUUAGGCCGGGAACUCAAAGGAGACUGCCAGUGAUAAACUGGAGGAAGGUGGGGAUGACGUCAAGUCAUCAUGGCCCUUACGACCAGGGCUACACCACGUGCUACAAUGGCGCAUACAAAGAGAAGCGACCUCGCGAGAGCAAGCGGACCUCAUAAAGUGCGUCGUAGUCCGGAUUGGAGUCUGCAACUCGACUCCAUGAAGUCGGAAUCGCUAGUAAUCGUGGAUCAGAAUGCCACGGUGAAUACGUUCCCGGGCCUUGUACACACCGCCCGUCACACCAUGGGAGUGGGUUGCAAAAGAAGUAGGUAGCUUAACCUUCGGGAGGGCGCUUACCACUUUGUGAUUCAUGACUGGGGUGAAGUCGUAACAAGGUAACCGUAGGGGAACCUGCGGUUGGAUCACCU